UUUGUUUGUACAAAUGUAUACUUAUGUUAAUAUAAGUAUUUAACUUCUAAACCCUGAACAUUAAAAGUAGAAGCUCUUAUGAAUAAAAAUAAACAUUAUGGUGUAGAAAUGUAAUGUUUCGAUAACAUUACCUUUCUUCAUAAUAAUAAUUAUUUUUCUUUAUAUCAAUCAAUAUUUUUUCUUACUAUAAUAACUACUUAAGCAAAUAAUUAAAAGUACAAGUUUUAAUAAAUAAAAGUAACAAUGAUCAUAAACAAAUGUAAUAAUUUUGAAACACUUGUUCACGAUAAUUGUUAUUUUUACUCACGAGAACUUAUACUUUUAGUUAUUUGCUCAAGUAAUUAUUGUCGUCAGAAAAAAUAAUUAUUGUUAUGAAAAUAUUACAUUUUUCACAAAAAUAUAUAAAAAAUGCAAAAUAAAAACAAUAAAUAAAAAACAAACAAAAAAUAAAGAAAAUACUGAAACGAUAUAAAAACCCAAAUAUAAAAAAAAAAGAAAAAGAAAAACAGUAAAGUUUUUUCAAAAAAGAAAAAAAAAAGAAAAUAUAUAAAAAAUGCAGAAAAGUUAAAAAAAAAUACAAAAAAAUAAAGAGAACUGGAAAAGGGCAAAAAGUCAAAAAAAAAAAAAAAACAACAACAACACAAAACCAGAAGGAAAAUCCAAAAAAAUGGGGGUAAAGGGUUUUAAACUGAUGACCUUGGGGCUUGGGUUAGGAAGGAAAUGAGCG
rnacentral:lncRNA from 1 species